rnacentral:rRNA from 1 species
AACGCGAAGAACCUUACCAGUCCUUGACAUGGGUAGUAUGGGUCUGAGAGAUCAGAUCCUUCGGUUCGGCCGGCUACCACACAGGUGCUGCAUGGCUGUCGUCAGCUCGUGUCGUGAGAUGUUGGGUUAAGUCCCGCAACGAGCGCAACCCUCAUCUUCAGUUGCCCCCGGGUAAGGCCGGGCACUCUGAAGAAACCGCCGGUGACAAGCCGGAGGAAGGCGGGGAUGACGUCAAGUCCUCAUGGCCCUUACGGACUGGGCUACACACGUACUACAAUGGUGGUGACAGUGGGCAGCGAAGGCGCGAGCCGGAGCCAAUCCCCAAAAGCCAUCUCAGUUCAGAUUGCACUCUGCAACUCGAGUGCAUGAAGUUGGAAUCGCUAGUAAUCGCAGAUCAGCACGCUGCGGUGAAUACGUUCCCGGGCCUUGUA